rnacentral:rRNA from 1 species
AGGUAAGCUACUAAGAGCGAAUGGUGGAUGCCUUGACUGGUAAAGGCGAUGAAGGACGUACUAGACUGCGAUAAGCUACGGGGAGCUGUCAAGAAGCUUUGAUCCGUAGAUUUCCGAAUGGGGCAACCCAAUGUAUAGAGAUAUACAUUACCUAUAUAGGAGCGAACGAGGGGAAUUGAAACAUCUUAGUACCCUCAGGAAAAGAAAUCAAUAGAGAUUGCGUCAGUAGCGGCGAGCGAAAGCGCAAGAGGGCAAACCCAGUGCUUGCACUGGGGGUUGUAGGACUGCAAUGUGCAAGAGGUAAGUUUAGCAGAACAUUCUGGAAAGUAUAACCAUAGAGGGUGAUAGUCCCGUAUGCGAAAAACAAACCUUAGCUAGCAGUAUCCUGAGUAGGGCGGGACACGAGGAAUCCUGUCUGAAUCCGGGUCGACCACGAUCCAACCCUAAAUACUAAUACCAGAUCGAUAGUGCACAAGUACCGUGAGGGAAAGGUGAAAAGAACUGAGGUGAUCAGAGUGAAAUAGAACCUGAAACCAUUUGCUUACAAUCAUUCAGAGCCCUAUGUAGCAAUACAGGGUGAUGGACUGCCUUUUGCAUAAUGAGCCUGCGAGUUGUGGUGUCUGGCAAGGUUAAGCAAACGCGAAGCCGUAGCGAAAGCGAGUCUGAAUAGGGCGCUUAGUCAGAUGCUGCAGACCCGAAACGAAGUGAUCUAUCCAUGAGCAAGUUGAAGCUAGUGUAAGAACUAGUGGAGGACUGAACCCAUAGGCGUUGAAAAGCCCCGGGAUGACUUGUGGAUAGGGGUGAAAGGCCAAUCAAACUUCGUGAUAGCUGGUUCUCUCCGAAAUAUAUUUAGGUAUAGCGUUGUGUCGUAAUAUAAGGGGGUAGAGCACUGAAUGGGCUAGGGCAUACACCAAUGUACCAAACCCUAUCAAACUCCGAAUACCUUAUAUGUAAUCACAGCAGUCAGGCGGCGAGUGAUAAAAUCCGUCGUCAAGAGGGAAACAACCCAGACUACCAGCUAAGGUCCCUAAGUCUUACUUAAGUGGAAAACGAUGUGAAGUUACUUAAACAACCAGGAGGUUGGCUUAGAAGCAGCCAUCCUUUAAAGAAAGCGUAAUAGCUCACUGGUCUAGUGAUUUUGCGCGGAAAAUAUAACGGGGCUAAAGUAAGUACCGAAGCUGUAGACUUAGUUUACUAAGUGGUAGGAGAGCGUUCUAUUUGCGUCGAAGGUAUACCGGUAAGGAGUGCUGGAGCGAAUAGAAGUGAGCAUGCAGGCAUGAGUAGCGAUAAUUAAUGUGAGAAUCAUUAACGCCGUAAACCCAAGGUUUCCUACGCGAUGCUCGUCAUCGUAGGGUUAGUCGGGUCCUAAGUCGAGUCCGAAAGGGGUAGACGAUGGCAAAUUGGUUAAUAUUCCAAUACCAACAUUAGUGUGCGAUGGAAGGACGCUUAGGGCUAAGGGGGCUAGCGGAUGGAAGUGCUAGUCUAAGGUCGUAGGAGGUUAUACAGGCAAAUCCGUAUAACAAUACUCCGAGAACUGAAAGGCUUUUUGAAGUCUUCGGAUGGAUAGAAGAACCCCUGAUGCCGUCGAGCCAAGAAAAGUUUCUAAGUUUAGCUAAUGUUGCCCGUACCGUAAACCGACACAGGUGGGUGGGAUGAGUAUUCUAAGGCGCGUGGAAGAACUCUCUUUAAGGAACUCUGCAAAAUAGCACCGUAUCUUCGGUAUAAGGUGUGGUUAGCUUUGUAUUAGGAUUUACUCCGAAAGCAAGGAAACUUACAACAAAGAGUCCCUCCCGACUGUUUACCAAAAACACAGCACUCUGCUAACUCGUAAGAGGAUGUAUAGGGUGUGACGCCUGCCCGGUGCUCGAAGGUUAAUUGAUGGGGUUAGCAUUAGCGAAGCUCUUGAUCGAAGCCCGAGUAAACGGCGGCCGUAACUAUAACGGUCCUAAGGUAGCGAAAUUCCUUGUCGGUUAAAUACCGACCUGCAUGAAUGGCGUAACGAGAUGGGAGCUGUCUCAAAGAGGGAUCCAGUGAAAUUGUAGUGGAGGUGAAAAUUCCUCCUACCCGCGGCAAGACGGAAAGACCCCGUGGACCUUUACUACAGCUUGACACUGCUACUUGGAUAAGAAUGUGCAGGAUAGGUGGGAGGCUUUGAGUAUAUGACGCCAGUUGUAUAUGAGCCAUUGUUGAGAUACCACUCUUUCUUAUUUGGGUAGCUAACCAGCUUGAGUUAUCCUCAAGUGGGACAAUGUCUGGUGGGUAGUUUGACUGGGGCGGUCGCCUCCCAAAUAAUAACGGAGGCUUACAAAGGUUGGCUCAGAACGGUUGGAAAUCGUUCGUAGAGUAUAAAGGUA